UAGUUGAGAGGGUUUUCUUUCCUCUGAGAAUUUAAAUUAGCUACUAAAGAAAAGGAUGCUGCUGAAACUUCCAUGAGAAAUCAGCUAAGGUUGCAAUUUUCAGCUAGUCAACAGUGGGAGAAAAAUUAUGUCCCAGAGAGCUGUAUCUGUUUCUACCUACCCACAUAGAUUGAAAGGUGAUAGCUCUGAUUAAUGGCGAUUAGGAGAUGCUGGCUCUAACAAGAAUGAAGAAUUCUGACUCAAGACAGCCCGUACAGCACGUAGAUCACUGAUGAAGUUCUUGAACAAGUCUGGACUCAGUAUCGACACCUACAGGACACCGUUAGUUACAGGCCUCUGACUAGACUGUACUGCUGAUUAUAACUCUCUGAUCUCUGCCAGCCAACCAUUUCUCAAUGUGCCUCACUGUCCACUCUUCUACCCCACACUUCAAAGCUUACCUAUGAGGAAGUUAUGGAAGAGGAUGCCAAAAGUCUUGCUGAAGUCAAGGGCUGGAGAUGAGGCUGACUAACUUGUGGCUUCCUGGCUCCUCCUUCUUGCCCUUUUAGAAGACUCGAGUGGCACUGGCUUUCCUUCAGUCCUUAGACAUGCCUCCUGUUCUCCACAACCUUUCAAAGAUGAUAGGGAGUGCUCCAUGAUAUUCCCCAGCACAGAGGUGAGGCUAACAGGUCGGUAGUUCCCUUGGUCAUCUUUUUUCUACCUGUCUUAAAAAUUGAUGUGAUAUUGCCUUUUUUCCAGUCACCAAGGACUUCACCUGACUACCACGACUUUCCAAAUAUUAUUAUGGUUUGAUGUAUAUCUUUUUACUAAGAAACUUUCUUUCUUUUCAAUGAUAUCAUUUUGUAUUUUUUUAAAAAAUGACACAUUUCUGUGAUCAAGAUUCUUCUAUAAAGUCUUCAAAAAUUCUAAUAACAAAACAAAGCAUUUUAAAAAUAACUGGGAGGGACAUGGGAAAAAUGACAAAAUUACAAAAUAUAUCACACUUGUUAAAGGCUUCUUUUUAUCUUUAGCUUCUGUAAUUUGCUUCUUAAUAAACAGCCUCACUGCUUUAUAGGAGUACAUUCAACUGAUGCAAUUCAAAUUCCAAAUCCAGAUUAAACUGACUUCCUGUUUGACUUUAUGCAUAGUGAAUGUUCUCAUGGUAUUGACUGAAACUCUUCACUAGAAGUUAAACAUUGAUAUAAAUCUUUCUGGAAAAUGAAUCAAAAUUUUUUAUUACAGUAGAAAAGACAAGACCUCAGAAGUGUAUCAGUUCGGUAUUUAGCUGACAGAGGACAAUUUAUGAAAAACUAAUGUCUGUAUGUUAUGAUUUUUCCUCAUCUUUUUAAUUUGAAGGGUUGUCAGCACGCUCAAAACUGCCAGUGGUGAUAGUUAAAUAUAAGUGUUAAGUUCCAGGAGAUUUAUUUGUUUCGUUGUUUUGUUUUGUUAUUUUUUCCUGGUUUAGAAGAUAGGCUUGACAAGCAAACUCUCCGUACUCUCAGGCCGGGACCUGACUGCCAACCUCAGUUUCUUCUAGUCUGACUGAAAAACACUAGCAAUACACGUUCUGUUGGCCAAGUACUUUAUCUUCACCUGAGCAACUGCCAUCAUUCCCAGUCUUCAAGGCAUUAUAUGACAUUCCCUUGGUUUGAAGUCUCAUGAUAAAGUAGCAUUCUACUGUAUUCUAUUUCAAAGUAGUUUCCAAGACAUUUAAAAUGCUGGAGUUGAUAUCAACAAAAAAAUAAACAAAUGGAAAUAACUGCUUAAUAGAACUUAAAGAAGGAUCUUAUCCUCCUUUAUUUUUUACUUUUCUAUUCUGUUAAAAGAUUUAAAAUUAUGUGAAAUCUCCUUUUAUAAAUAAAAACAUUUGCUCAGUUCACCAUUAUAACCAAUCACUGAGAGGAUGAGUAUUAAGAACUACAAAGAAACUACAAUUUCCUUUCCAAUGUUUUUUAGUCAGGUUAUUUUGUUGGACUACUGAGCUGCAUUGUUGACCAUAGCUAUAAAUGGUCAGGAACGUUCUCUACAUUGACUGAAUCAAUUUUCUCCAGCUUCACCUCUGAAACCAAUAUGAAACUAAUUGUCAAGUCUUCUUGGCAAUUUCUAGGAAAUUAAGUUGUGGUUCAGACCUCUACUGGAAAGAAUGAAAGACAGAGGUGAUUAUCAUACAUGAUACAUGAGUCUACCUGGCAAUUUUAGAGUGGUAUUAUUCAAUAAACGCAUACUGCCCCUUUUCUAACAAUGAUUUUACAUUGAUUCCUUUUUUUUAAUUAUCUCAUUCUCCAAAAGCAGGGCAGAUUAAAGAAAAUGAAUAAAGCCUCAUCUGAGUAUUUCAUCUGAUGUGAAUCAACAUGAGUGAGUUCUGUAAACCUGUGCCCAUUUAUCCCAGCUGUGUAUAUGACAGUUUUAUUAAAUGGAAUGUCUGUGAUGCAAUUUAGUAAAUCACGUUGAAAUAAGACAUUUUAACAGAAUGCAAACAGCAAUAAACUCUUUUAAUUCAAAAUCACAAAAAGGUUCAUUUAACAACAGGGUUAAAAUAAACACCACUUCAGAGCAGUAUUUAUCUGAGUGCCUAAUUUUAAAUCCAAAAAUAAUCAUUAUGUCUACAUUGGAGCUGAAAGGACAUGACAAUGCGAAUGGGGAGGUAGAAUGAGUAGAAUGGAUGGAGGAUAUUAUUUUACCCAAAAUUCUUUCAGUGUCACAUGCUAAAAUCAAAAUUACCAAACAGUAAUACAUCACAGAUUAAAAUGACAUUUUUUAGCCUGCUUCAAACAAGUAAAACGUAAAAACUACAAGUUUCCUUGUCAACACAGUGAUGUUACCAGAGGCUAAUAUGAUCUUGAAAUAUAUACAUUCUAAAUCUUCAUGUGAUAGCAACACUGAAAAAAGCAGAGGACUUUUAAGGCUGCGCAUAAUAUUAAUAUGUCAUACAGACAUACAGAUUUUUCCUGGUUUAAAAGGAUGUAUCUUCACCUUUCAAUAGUUUUAGUAGGUAUACAUUUCAACUUUAUUUAUAAACAAAAGGGGUCAAAUGGGUAUAUGUAUACCCCCAGAGUAUGCAUCAAGCGUCACUCUUCUGCAGAUUUGAUUGUGGUUUCCUUCUUUUUUAAAAUAUUUUUUUCUUUUUGUAACCACAGAUGUUAUAUCAUAAACAGAGAAUUCUAUUUCCAAUAGUUGUUGAGAUGUAAAGAAAAAUUACAGACAGAAAAUUCUUAAUUAAUUUUGAAAAGAAACAAAUUUGUAAAAAGAAAAAGAAAGAAGAAAUGACUAAUAAUAAAAAAAGUCCUUGCCAAACCUCAAAAUAUUCUGAGGUUC